rnacentral:sRNA from 1 species
CUUCCGCUUGCGCUGUGAGCUGAGCCGGUGUAUGUGCGGCAAUAACAUGUCAACCCCGCUGCCCGCCAUCGUGCCCGCCGCCCGGAAGGCCACCGCUGCGGUGAUUUUCCUGCAUGGAUUGGGAGAUACUGGGCACGGAUGGGCAGAAGCCUUUGCAGGUAUCAGAAGUUCACAUAUCAAAUAUAUCUGCCCGCAUGCGCCUGUUAGGCCUGUUACAUUAAAUAUGAACAUGGCUAUGCCUUCAUGUAAAAGCUUUGAUUGAUCAAGAAGUGAAGAAUGGCAUUCCUUCUAACAGAAUUAUUUUGGGAGGGUUUUCUCAGGUAAGAUAAAAUUUGAGUGGAAUGUCAAUACCAUCAGUAUACUUAUCUAGAAGUCUGUGCAUUACUCCUUUCUAUAGAGUAGUCUUUUUUGAUGUUAUGGAAUCUUGACUGAUACACUUACCUUUAAUGUUUAAUUAAGUUUCAGUGUACUGGAACUAAUUAAUUUCUUCUUAGGAGGACUAUAAUACACAUGUACACGUUAUUAAAUUUCUAAGUUAACACAGUGUAUCCUUUUAAUUAAUUAAAACUCUGAUAACACAGGCAUGAGUCCCCUCUAUAGGAGGAGACUACUGAUAGGAACAGUAAAGUGGAAUAAAAGAGAAUUUCUUCCCUUUACCUUCACGUAUUACAGGUUUUAAGUAUGAAUAUGUGGUGUUUAUUUUUGGCAUUUUUCUUCAUCUCUGUACUUUUUCCCCUGCUUUCUGUACUCCCUCCACAGACAUAGCUUCCUCAUACGGACCUUUCAUGGCUACUGCAGCAUGUAAGCUGUUUGCCAUGGAACCAGUCCCCAGAUGCUCUAACUUCUCAUCUGUAAAUCUUCUAAGUAAGCAACUUAGUGUUUGGAUUACCUUAAUUAGGGAGAUGUUUGGAUUACCUUAAUUA